rnacentral:rRNA from 1 species
GCUUGUCUCAAAGAUUAAGCCAUGCAUGUCUCAGUAUAAACUUCUAUACGGUGAAACUGCGAAUGGCUCAUUAAAACAGUUAUAAUUUAUUUGAUGGUCGCUUACUACAUGGAUAACUGUGGUAAUUCUAGAGCUAAUACGUGCGUAAAUCCCGACUCCUGGAAGGGACGUAUUUAUUAGAUUUAAGGCCAACCGAGCUUGCUCGUCUCUUGGUGAAUCAUGAUAACUUCACGAAUCGCAUGGCCUCGCGCCGGCGAUAUUUCAUUCAAAUUUCUGCCCUAUCAAUUGGCGAUGGUAGGAUAGAGGCCUACCAUGGUGUUAACGGGUGACGGGGGAUUAGGGUUCGAUUCCGGAGAGGCAGCCUGAGAAACGGCUACCACAUCCAAGGAAGGCAGCAGG